GAAAUGUUCGAUGCUUCAAGACCCUGAAGCUGAUUUUAUUAGGUCUACCCAGUGGCUUUUGACCAUUUGAGGGUCAGAUGGUUGUGAAUUCAUACCUCAACAUUGUGCGUCCCGGGAGCAGGCAUCUUUUGCACACAUUAAUUUUUUCAAAGAUGUUUUCUUGGAAUCACAACACUCCCUGGAUACAAGACGGACA